rnacentral:rRNA from 1 species
ACAUAGGGUGCAAGCGUUGUCCGGAAUUAUUGGGCGUAAAGAGCUCGUAGGUCGUUUGUUACGUCGGAUGUGAAAACCUGAGGCUCAACCUCAGGCCUGCAUUCGAUACGGGCAAACUAGAGUUUGGUAGGGGAGACUGGAAUUCCUGGUGUAGCGGUGGAAUGCGCAGAUAUCAGGGGGAACACCAAUGGCGAAGGCAGGUCUCUGGGCCAAUACUGACACUGAGGAGCGAAAGUCUGGGGAGCGAACAGGAUUAGAUACCCUGGUAGUCCAGACCGUAAACGGUGGGCACUAGUUGUGGGAACCUUCCACGGUUUCUGCGACGCAGCUAACGCAUUAAGUGCCCCGCCUGGGGAGUACGAUCGCAAGAUUA